CCUGCCCCUAGAGGCCUUGCAGGUGCGGCUGCUGUGUCACAGGUGUGUCAGUAGGUGGCAGAGAGGAGAGAGGCUGUGUCUGCACUCAGUGGCUGCUCAGGGGCUAGCCUCAGAGGACCAUCAGUCUGGCCCC